AAGUCGUAACAAGGUAUCUGUAGGUGAACCUGCAGAUGGAUCAUUUCGAUGAAAACCUUUUUUCCCCCCCUGAGGUGUGGCUCGCACCUGUCUAACUAAACUUGAGCUACCCUAUUAACACGGUUGCAUCGGUUGGGCCUGUCAAGCAGCAGCGCGGCGUUUCGGAGGAAAUAUUUAUUUUUCUGGGAUGCAGUUUGCUCGACGGUCUCGACACUUUUAACCAAAAACACUUUUGAUGAUCUAGGAUUUGAAUGAAGUUCAUUUUUACGAUGGAACCGACUGGUAAUGCGGUCGACUAAAUCCUAAAAAAACAACUUUUGGCAACGGAUCUCUUGGUUCUCC
rnacentral:misc_RNA from 1 species